rnacentral:rRNA from 1 species
CCUACGGGCGGCAGCAGUGGGGAAUAUUGCACAAUGGGCGCAAGCCUGAUGCAGCCAUGCCGCGUGUGUGAAGAAGGCCUUCGGGUUGUAAAGCACUUUCAGCGGGGAGGAAGGCGGUGAGGUUAAUAACCUCAUUCAUUGACGUUACCCGCAGAAGAAGCACCGGCUAACUCCGUGCCAGCAGCCGCGGUAAUACGGAGGGUGCAAGCGUUAAUCGGAAUUACUGGGCGUAAAGCGCACGCAGGCGGUCUGUCAAGUCGGAUGUGAAAUCCCCGGGCUCAACCUGGGAACUGCAUUCGAAACUGGCAGGCUAGAGUCUUGUAGAGGGGGGUAGAAUCCCAGGUGUAGCGGUGAAAUGCGUAGAGAUCUGGAGGAAUACCGGUGGCGAAGGCGGCCCCCUGGACAAAGACUGACGCUCAGGUGCGAAAGCGUGGGGAGCAAACAGGAUUAGAUACCCGUGUAGUC